CCUACGGGUGGCUGCAGUCAAGAAUCAUUCACAAUGGGGGAAACCCUGAUGGUGCGACGCCGCGUGGGGGAAUGAAGGUCUUCGGAUUGUAAACCCCUGUCAUGUGGGAGCAAAUUAAAAAGAUAGUACCACAAGAGGAAGAGACGGCUAACUCUGUGCCAGCAGCCGCGGUACUACAGAGUUGUCAAGCGUUGUUCGGAAUCACUGGGCGUAAAGCGUGCGUAGGCUGUUUCGGAGGUCGUGUGUGAAAGGCGCGGGCUCACCCCGCGGACGGCACAUGAUACUGCGAGACUAGAGUAAUGGAGGGGGAACCGGAAUUCUCGGGGUAGCAGUGAAAUGCGUAGAUAGCGAGAGGAACACUAGUGGCGAAGGCGGGUUCCUGGACAUUAACUGACGCUGAGGCACGAAGGCCAGGGGAGCGAAAGGGAUUAGAUACCCGUGUAGUA
rnacentral:rRNA from 1 species